AAUGCCUUUUUGGCGAUGGAUUUCACUCCAAAGGAUUUUUGUGGCUCUUUUUAUAUCCUCUCUCUCUCUCUCUCUCUCUCUCUCUCUCUCAUAUUUUCUGUUUCUUUUCUUUUCUUCAUGUGUUGAGGUUUUUUGUUAUAAUGUUACUGUGCUCUUAUAAAGUUUUAAGUUAAUCAUGUGGGUGCGCAUAAUUCCUGAGAAACCAGACAUUACGGGUGCAUAUUUAUCACAUACUGUUAAGUGCUCUUUCUCUGUCUCAUCUGAUCAUUAUGAUUUAGCAAUUGAUUUCUUUACAAUUCAUUGAUGAAUAUUCCUAUUGAUUUUCUUUGUUAUCAUAAUCUUUAGUCCGACCAGCCAUGAUUAUCAUGUGGUAUAGUUGGUCACAAUAAAAAUACUUGUAUUUGGUUCACAAGACUAUCGAACCCACAAUGAAAUUAUUCAGCUUGGACUUCGAAAAAAACUUAGCACAAACUUAGAAAAUGAUUUUGUACAUUCCCUGGAUCACAACAGGUAAUUAACAAUUGAUGUUUUAUCUUACUCAUGCUCUUAUCUUUUGCUCCUUGCAUAUGGAUCUAUUAUGGCAACCAAUAAUUAGGUCUAUUGCCCCUUUGACACCACCGAGAGUUUAUAGCUAGAUAUUGGUGGGCCCUCUGAUUCUCACCAACAUCUUUCAUAUGUAGUUUCUUUGCUUUGCUUGGUUUGUUCCAUAUAUCAUUUCUUAUUGUAACUUUUUUUAACAUGUCAUGUGCUUGCAUUGCUAAGUGGUGCUCACAUGAGACAAAAGUUUUUCGAGGGGAUAAGAGCCUUCUAAGAUGAAGGAGAGAGAACUUAUUUUAAGCCCAUUAAGAUCUUUGGAAACUAUAGAUUCUGAUCUUAGAGAUGUGUGGUCUAGUUCUCCUAGGCAACUAGAGGGACAAAAUGCAACUUGCAGAACACUUUAUGUUGGACUAAACCUCCUGUUAUUUGACUAAGGGAUAGCUAUGGUUUUGAGAGUCUGACACAGUGGACAUUAGCUUUUAAAUCCAAAUAAGACUGAAGUGGAAGGAGGAGAGACAAGAAGAGGGAAUAUGAGGCCUGUUGGAGUGGUGGGUUUGGUGGUUAUGGUGGUAGUGGUAGUCCUUUCUCUGCUUCAUCAACAAACCACAGCUGGUAAAAAAACAAACUCAUCAUCUUUUAGAUGUAAACUUAGUCAAUUUUCUGGUUUAAGAACUUGAAAGAUGUUGUUGUUAUUUUUCAAUAAGGCGUGAUCAGGUCGCGCGACGACCGCGGACAAAUGAGGGAAUGGGGCAACACGCAGAGAGAGAUGGUGCCUUGGUGGUUGAGCAUGGAUUACGCCCGAGUCCGACGGCGAACACCGAUACACAAUAGGUUUGAUCCCUGACUCAACCAAGUUAGUACUUCCCCCCUCAAUGUUUUUGCCCUCGGAAAGUUUGCGAGACAAGGAAUGAUUACUGGUUUUUUGGGAUUGUACUAUUAGUGGGUAUAGUAAUAUAUGUUUUACCUAAUGUUAAUUUUUCUUUUCUUUUCUUUUCUUUUCUUUGUAAGAACGGAUAGUAAUUAGUGCAACUUUCAUAUUUUGC
rnacentral:lncRNA from 1 species